rnacentral:misc_RNA from 1 species
GAUGAUGAACGCAGCGAAAUGCGAUAAGUAAUGUGAAUUGCAGAAUUCAGUGAAUCAUCGAAUCUUUGAACGCACCUUGCGCCCUUUGGCCAUUCCGAAGGGCAUGCCUGUUUGAGUAUCAUGAACACCUCAACUCUUCAUGGUUUUCCGUGAUGAGCUUGGACUUUGGGGGUCUUGCUGGCCUAUGGUCAGCUCCUCUAAAAUAAAUCAGCUUGCCAGUGUUUGGUGGGUAUCACAGGUGUGAUAACUAUCUACGCUUGUGGUUUUCCACCAGGUAACCUUCAGCAGUGGAGGUUCGCUGGAGCUCACAGAUGUGUCUCUCCUCAGUGAGGACAGCUCUUUGAAUGUUUGAUCUCAAAUCAGGUAGGACUACCCGCUGAACUUAAGCAUAUCAAUAAGCGGAGGA